AUAACGGUCCUAAGGUAGCGAAAUUCCUUGUCGGGUAAGUUCCGACCUGCACGAAUGGCGUAAUGAUGGCCAGGCUGUCUCCACCCGAGACUCAGUGAAAUUGAACUCGCUGUGAAGAUGCAGUGUACCCGCGGCAAGACGGAAAGACCCCGUGAACCUUUACUAUAGCUUGACACUGAACAUUGAGCCUUGAUGUGUAGGAUAGGUGGGAGGCUUUGAAGUGUGGACGCCAGUCUGCAUGGAGCCGACCUUGAAAUACCACCCUUUAAUGUUUGAUGUUCUAACGUGGACCCGUUACCCGGGUUGCGGACAGUGUCUGGUGGGUAGUUUGACUGGGGCGGUCUCCUCCUAAAGAGUAACGGAGGAGCACGAAGGUUGGCUAAUCCUGGUCGGACAUCAGGAGGUUAGUGCAAUGGCAUAAGCCAGCUUGACUGCGAGCGUGACGGCGCGAGCAGGUGCGAAAGCAGGUCAUAGUGAUCCGGUGGUUCUGAAUGGAAGGGCCAUCG
rnacentral:rRNA from 1 species